rnacentral:rRNA from 1 species
AGUGAACGCUGGCGGUAGGCCUAACGCAUGCAAGUCGAACGGCAGCACAGUAAGAGCUUGCUCUUACGGGUGGCGAGUGGCGGACGGGUGAGGAAUACAUCGGAAUCUACUUUUUCGUGGGGGAUAACGUAGGGAAACUUACGCUAAUACCGCAUACGACCUACGGGUGAAAGCAGGGAUCUUCGGACCUUGCGCGAUUGAAUGAGCCGAUGUCGGAUUAGCUAGUUGGCGGGGUAAAGGCCCACCAAGGCGACGAUCCGUAGCUGGUCUGAGAGGAUGAUCAGCCACACUGGAACUGAGACACGGUCCAGACUCCUACGGGAGGCAGCAGUGGGGAAUAUUGGACAAUGGGCGCAAGCCUGAUCCAGCCAUACCGCGUGGGUGAAGAAGGCCUUCGGGUUGUAAAGCCCUUUUGUUGGGAAAGAAAAGCAGCAGGUUAAUACCCCGCUGUUCUGACGGUACCCAAAGAAUAAGCACCGGCUAACUUCGUG